AAAUUUAACAACAGAUAAUUAUCCUGUUGGGCAUGCCACAGUUUAGCUCCCUUGUACCUCUACACCUAAUGCUGAGCAGGAUGCUCUUAGCCAUCUCACAGACAUGAUGGGCCAGUUAGGUACACAGAUUGGAGAGUCAAUUGUUUCCAGAUUACUUUCCGCUGGCAUAGUUAAUAGCGAUUCGAUACACCACCACACGCAAUCACAGAUGAGACCAGAACAGUCUGUGUCAAUGGUAGUACCACAUGUGUCAGUACAUGUAGGGUCUGAAUAUGACAUUUCGUGGUGACAGAUCUGACAAGUAUGGUGUUAGAGAGUGGGUUGAUAGAACCAAAGCUUGUAUAAGAAAGCAGAAAAGUCCCAUAACAGAACAAGCUGAGGAGAUUAUGAGCAGACUUACAAGAAAAGCUAAAGAUAUCGUUAAAAUCAGUCUGCGAAGUUAUUAUACACUUGAUGUAAAGCAGAAUCCUGAUUUAUGAUAUUCUGCUGCAGUAUUUCAGUGAGACCUCAUCAAGCCUACCCCUUGCUGAUUUCUACUGUAUGCUACUCUUCCCAGAGCCAGUGAGAACCCAGUAGACUAUUGGAUUCGAAUCAAUAAGGCUGCUGAUCUGGUGAAUGAUGGCCUUCAUGGACAAGAGAAGCAGCGGUCUGAUAUGGACGAAGAGGUGACACAUCACCUCAGUUUCAGGACAUCUUAAGGUGGUCCAGUGGCAGGAUCCUGCACACUCAUUGCCGCGGCCCAGACAGUGAGCAAAGAGUUAACUCUCAGUGCCGGUCCCAAUCCCAGAUAAAAAUGGGAGGGUUGUGGCAUCUGGUGUAAAACCUGUGACAAAUUAUAGAUGUGGACCACUUGAUCCACUGUGGUGACCUCAAACAGGGAGCAGCCGAAAGAAAAAAAUCUGGAAAUGUGCAGCUACUAACUUAAUGUUUCAAUAAAUUGAACAAUACAUUAUUUGUAUUCAUACAUAUUUUUGUACAGUGAUUUUUUUUUAUUUUUUUUUUUUGACAAUUUGUAGCAAUACUGACAUUUUUAUUCUGUCAUCUAAGUUGUAUAUUAAAAA